GUGUCUUUCUCGAACACAUCAUUGUCAAAUUUAAAAUUAAUGAGGUCUUUGGAUUUGGAAAAUGUCGCGAUUAAUAUUUCACCAGAAGGGUUGGGGACUCUAUUCAACUUAAGGUACUUGAACUUGAGAGGAACCUAGGUGCAAAAACUUCCCAAAUCUAUUGAAAAACUGAGAAAUCUUGAGAGUUUAGACAUCAUAAAUACAAAUGUAAAAGAACUUCCGAGUGAAGUAGCUGAGUUCCGAGUGAAGUAGCUGAGUUACAGAACUUGUAUCAUCUGAUUAUGUGGAGCAAGAGGAUUGCAAAUAACUUGGGAGAUUUUUUGUAUUUGAAUGGAGUGCAAGUAACAUUUAAAAUUAGCAAAUUGAAGAAAUUGCCAGUCUUGUAUUAUAUUGAAGCCAAAGGUGACAUAAUACGACAACUUGGGAGUAUGACCCAACUGAGGAGAAUGGGCAUUUUAAAUUUGAGAGAAGCAGAUGAGCAUGACUUGUGCUCUUCAAUCCUGAACUUGAAACUAAUACGCACCUUGCGUCUCUGUGUGAAUAAUGAAGCAGACUUCCUUCGAGUGGAUGCACUGGAAACACCCCCACCCCAACUUCAAAAGCUUGGUUUGCAUGGGAAACUAGAAAGGGUGCCACAUUGGUUUUGCUCACUUCAAAACCUAACAUCAUUAGGAUUGCUUGGGUCUAGAUUGGAGGAAGAUCCACUCCCUCAUGUUGCAGUGCUACCCAAUUUGGGACGCGUUACUCUAAUUAAUUCCUUCGUCGGAGAAAAUCUACAUUUCUACGGUGGAUUUGCUAAGCUUAAAGAGUUAUACUUGUUUAAGUUCCCUCAACUGAAAGGAAUUAUUAUAGAGAAGGGGGCUAUGCCAGAUAUCCAGAAAUUGUGGAUUGAUUCCUGCUUUGCGUUGGAUGCAGUGCCUCAAGGUAUCGAAUUCCUAACCAAUCUUCAAAUUAUGUGGUUAACAAACUUUUCUUCAAGUCUUAUAGAUUUGAAAAGUAUAGAUCAUUCAAAGUUGCAGCACAUCCCAAAUGUCAAUAUCAUUGAUACUAUAGGUGAGCUUCCACAAGCACAAACACACCUCUGUCCUUAUUCUAAGGAUUUGAAAUAACAUUUUAGAUUGAGGAUGAAAACUGUAAUGGACUCCAUGUGGGUUUUUCUAAUCUCCUAUAAAUUCAACUUACUAUAUAGAAAUAAUGAGUUUAUUUAUAUUAAUAAAUUAGAUUUACGUUGAUGCUUUAUGCAGAUAUUAUUAUUAUUUAUAUAUUAAUAAUUAAUAAAAUUAUCUUAAUAUUUAUUUUUUUAUAGUAAAAAUUAUUCUAAUUAUAAAAAUAAAACUUUAUUAAUUCAAUCGAUUAAAUAUUAAUAUCAAUUGUAUUGAAUUUCACGUCGAUUGUGGGAAGAGAUAAUAUACUCUUUAUAUGAGACAGGUCUAACUAACUCACUCCAAAAGCUAAUUCAAAGGAGAAGUGUCUAUGACUCAUAUAAGAAGACACAUACCUCACAUAUUUAUGGGAGACCCAACAUUAAAUAUAUAAUAUAAAAUUAGAAGAAAAAAAUAUUUUUCAUUUUUUUGCUUUUUUUGUAAUAGGAUAUAAGGAUUAUAUAAUUAUCGUAUAGAAUCAUGUUAGUAUUGAACUCGCUAUUGCCCAAAAAAAAUACAAAACAACUCAUAAAUUUUAAAAAGCUUCCAGCUUUACGCGCAAAUUCAUAAUACCAAAUUAUAUGGACUGAAUUUUGGAAGAUGGAAGAAAUUGAGAAACCUGGUGAUUUGCACACUAAACAACUCAUUCAUUCAUUAUCAAUUACAACAAAGCAAAUGAUGAUUUGCGAACACUUGCGGCGGGAGCCGGAUUGUGUCUGCCUUAGCUGCCAGUCCAUCUCAGUAGCUGCCACUGCCUUCAUCUCACUCUUAGGUAUUGUUUGGAUAGGAAUAAAAUAAGAGAGGAAGGAAAAUGAAAGGGUAAAUUAUAUUUUUAUUUUUGAAUUUUAAUAUAAUUAAUUGAUCAAUCUUUAUAUUUUUAAAAUCGAAACUUAAAUCUCUCUAUAGUCAGUUUGUUCAAAUUAGAUCCCUCCAUCCAUUUUUAGCAUUAAAAGUGUAAAAAUAUUCUUAUUACCCUUUCAAAUGGAUAACUUAUACUUGAAUCUUUGAAUUUUAAUAUAAUAAAGAAUCGGUCUCUAUAUUUUUAAAAUCGUACAUUUAAAUUAUUAUAAGAAAGUGAAAAUAUAACGUACGACUUUUUAUCGUAAACAAUCGGUGAUUCCAUUGUUGAUACUUCAAGUGAUCAGUAAAUAUUCAGUAAUUUACUUUAGCGAUAACUUUUUUAAUAAUUUAAUCGAUAAAUUUCAUCGUUGUUUUUUUGUUUUCUUAUAGUGAAUCUCUCUAUAACCAAUCCAUCUUUAUUUAUUAUAAUUUAAACAUUUUAAUCCUUCAUUUUUAUGUAAAACAACAAUUAAACUCCCAUUAACCUUUAUCUAUAAUAUCUCAUUUAACUAAUUUUUAAUACUUUUUGUUCUUUAAUUUCCAUUCAUUAAAAUAUUUCAAUUAUAACUUUAGUACUUUCAAAAAAUACUUAUAAUUUCGGCUAUUUUUAAAUGAUAUCAAAUAACUUUUAAAUAAGUUGUAAACUUUUAUAAAAUGUAUUUUAGAAAGAAAUUGAGUUUCAGAAAAAUUUUGACCAUCCACUAGAUUUGAACUAAUAGAUAGAAAAAUUAUAAUUUUAGACAGAUUUAAUAUUAAGGGAUUUAAGGAUUCAGUUUUAAAAAUAUAAGGAUUGAUCUGUGAAUUAUAUUAAAAUUUAGGGAUAAAAGUGUAGGUAACACAAUUUAAAUUUUUUUAUUUAUAUUGAAAAAAAUUUAAGUGUUUAUGAGAAUAUUUUAAGUAUUUAAGAUUGGUUAAUUAACAGAAUUAUAAACGGAGAACCUUUAAUUUGGAUAAAUUAAUUAUAAAAAAAAUUUAAAUCUUCGAUUUUAAAAAUAUAAAAAUUGAUUCAUUAAUUAUGCUAAAUCUCAAAUAUUAAAAUAUAAUUUAGUUAAAAUAAAAAUAUUUUCGUUUCUUGCGUUUGAAUUGGAGGAAUAAAAAUAUUUUCUUUUUCUUGUGUUUGAAUCGGAGAAAAAUAGAAAGGGAAGGAAGAUGAAGGAAAAUAACAAAUUAAAAUUACCAUUCACUUUCUCUCAAAUUGCAGAGAAAGUAGUUUUUAUCUCUAAAAUUAUUUAUGUUAAUUGCAAAUAUAAAAAGUAAAAUAAUUAUUUUACUAUUUCAAAAAUUUAUUUUUCUCUCUAACAUUCAAACAAUGAGGAAAAUUAGAUUUUUACUAUUUUUAUUUUCCUUUCUUAUUUUUCACUCUUUAUUUUCUUCUCUCAAAAAAGAUUCUCAAACAUAGUCUUAACUAAAAAUUUCCUAACAAUCCUUCCCCCUCUCUCUCUUUGUCGUUGGAUCAUCGCGGCUGCGCUCCUCGUUGCCACUGUCCUCCCCAUUGCAACACUACCUCCAUCUUAUUAGUCGGUAACUCUAGAAAAUAUCAUCUUUAAACCUUUUCUCACAAGCUCAGUCUCUCUAAAGUAUGUGUUUCCUCUUCCAUGAAAUUUGAGAAUGCCAUAAUUAUGCGUUUUAGCUAGUUUGUUUGAUGAUGCAUGACUUUGAUUUGGUAAUCCUAAAUUUCCUUAAAUCUCCCAUUUCCUUUUAUAUAAUAUGCUUUACAAAUCGUAGGUAAAUAUGUAGUUUGAGAUUUAACAUACAAAUGUAUAUUAGAUAGCACUUACAGACUUAAUCUGAUAGUAAAUACAUUUCAGUAAAUUUCAGAGAUUUCAGAUUCUACUUCUCCAAUCUCCAAUCUCCAAUCUCCAAUUUUCAUUUUAAAAUAUAUAUAUAUAUAUAUAUAUAUAUAUAUUAGUAAUUUUUUCCGUUCCUUAUUAUUAUAAUUAUUAUUAUUACAAACAACAGUAUAAAUAAAUAAACACGUAUAGUUAUGAUAAUGGUAAGUAUAAUCAAAUACUUAUUAUAAUAAAAACAAUGAAUUUCUUUUAUAUAAACAUGUAGUAAAUUUAUUAUAAUUCAUUUUGUAUAAUAUACUUACCAAAAAGAAAUUCAUUUGAUUAUGCAGAAGUGGUUAUAUUUUUUUAUAAAAAAGCUAUUUAAUUAGUUAUCAUAUUUUUAAAAUUUAUUAAUUCACUGAUAGGUUUUAAUUAUUUUUUAUUUUAUUUUUAUUUAUUUAUUAUACUAUGUAGAUAAUUUACCACAGUUUUACCAUAUAAUUUCUUUUAUUUUUAGAGUCACCAGUAGUUUUUGGUUUUAAUAAAUGUUAUUAAAAUUAAUAAAAACAAUAAAAUGAAAUUCAAAGAUUUUUAUAGCUACUUUUAACCUUUAAAUAAUAAAAAUAAUGAAAAGACAUAUCUCUUUGGAAACAAUAAAAAGUUAUUAGUUAAUAUAUCAAUUUUAAAAAAUAUAUUAAUAAUAUUUUAAAAAUCUACUAUUUAAUUCCUCCGUUAAUUUUUUAAUCAUUAAGUAUUUAUUAUUUAAUCACUAUAAUAUUAAAAAAUUUCUAAAUAAUUAGUCAUUUAAUUUUAAAAACAAAUUAAAAUAUGUUUAAAAUUAUAAAAAAAAAUUUACUAAUUAGUUCUUAUAUAUUGAAAAUAUUUUAGAUUAUUCUCAAACACUCAAUAACUAAAAUUGAUGAAAUGAUAAAUUAACAGAUUUUUUUAAAAUUAUAAGAAUAUUUUAAUAUAUUUUUAAAAUUAAGUGAUGAAUUAAUAAAUUAUUCCAUAUCAUAAAAAUUAAAUGGUAACUUUUUUUUUUUUAAAUUAUUGGAAAGAGAAUGCAUUAAUAGAAGGAGAGAAAAAAAUCUAUGCCUUACAAGAAUAAAGAGCAAGAAGAGAGAGAGAGUGAGCAAGUGAACGGUCGUGCUAUUUGACAAUAAGGUUUCGCUGCCUUUAGGUGGCAGAUUCCUCUAUGUUUUGCUCUGUUUUCUUUGUGUAUAGUCUGAAUUCUCAAUUUUUUUUGAAUUUUUUUAUCUUGUUUGAGAGUAGUUUUCUAGUUUUGAUAUAUGUUUUUUGGGAUUUUGUUUCUCCCACUGUUGAGUCUCACUUCAUUAGAGGAUUGUGAAUCAGUGAUUUUUGGCAUGAGAGCAUAGUUGGUCCUUUAAAAAAUAUUAUGAGUCGAUUCCUUCUUCAAUGAUGCUGGCCGACAGUGAGUUUUGAAGCUUUAAUUGGUUUAUUUGGGGGUUGUUGUUUGAUGGAGGCAGGAGGAAGCUGGGUUUCAUGCAUCACUUGUUUUUCUUCUGUUGUUUGUGUUGUUGCUUUGGCAUGAAUGGGCUCUUUGUGGAUUUUGUCUUCGUUGCUGCUCGAUGAUUCUUGGGAUUUCUGGCUUGUGUGUGCCGAUUAUUGUUUUGUGAUCCGCUUGCCGUUGUUGUUGGCCCUCUUUAUUUCUCUUCUUCAUCUUAAUUUCUUUGUCUCCAUUGCUAGCUAUACACAGAUCUGAAAAUAAUUCUAAAUUGCUGAUUUAUAUAUGAUUCUGUGCAUGUUAGAUUUGCUAUUAUGUUAUUGGGUAUUAAUUUACUUGUUUCUUUUGCUCUUUUAUUUAUUGAGUUUUUAUAUGCUAUGGCUUGUUAAUGCAAUUAGAUUGAAGUUUUGAAUGAGUUCUGAAUAAUUCUAUAUUGUUGAUGUAAUAUUAUUUUUGUUGAUGUAAAAUUUGGGAAUUAUUGGAUUUUCUAUGAACCGAACUUAAAUUGAACCGAUAAAUAUCUAUUCAAUUUGUUUUGCAACUAUUUAUGUUGAAAAUGCUGUUUCUACCACUAAAUGGGUUCUAGGUUAAUUUAAGAUUACAUAAGAAAUAGGGUAAAUUACUUUCAAGUUCAUGAAUUUUUUUAAAAAUUCAAUAAUUUGUCUUUAUUUUAAAAUUAUUCAAUUAAAAUAUUUAUAUAUUUUGUAAAAUCUAACUUUUUUAGUAUAAAAAAAAAUUAAUUUUAUCAUUCCCAUUAUUAAAAGAAUUCAUUUAUUUAGAAUACAUUUCAAAGUAAUAGAAUUCAAUUAAAAUUUUCUAUUUCAAACAAAUUAAUAAUAAAUUUAAAUUAAAUUAUUCACUUCAUUAUAUUUAUUAUUUUAAACUAAAUAUAAAUAUUUAUUUUUAUGACAUUGAAAAAUGUUAUUAAUAUUUUUCACAUAUUUAAAAUUUAAACUUUAUAUAUUUCUACCAUUAAAAAAAUAAAUUAAAAUAGACUCUUUUUUAAAUUUAAUAUAAUAAUAUAAUUAAUUUCUUAAUACUAAUUAUAAAUAUAUUAAACAUUAAUACUGAACAUUAAACAAUUUUUUUAAAAAAAUAAUUAUUAAUUAAAAAUAUAAACAAAAUUUGAAAUUAAAAAAAUAAAAAACAGUGAAUAAAGGAAAAAAAAAAAAGAGUUUUUAAGAACUAAAUAAGUAAUUUUGAUAUAAAUGAUUUGAACUGAAUUCAUUUCUUGCAAAAUCUUAACAAUUUUGAUAAGAUUUUAUUUUAAUUCAAGAUCAAUUCUCAUAAAAUUAAAUUCUUACAUUAUUAAUUUUGUUAAAUAAAAAAAUUAUAAAAAAAUUAAUUUCUUUUAAAUUCUUGUAAAAUUAUGCAUUCCAAACAAGAGCUUUACAUUUAGCAGUGACCGAAUUAUGAUAUCUCUACUUUAUAAAAUUUUAUUUUUAUUUAUAUAUUUUUUAGAAAUUUUAUUAAAAAUAUAAUUUUGACCUCUCCAAUUUUAUAAAAUUUGUACAUAUAUUUUUAUAUUUUUCAUUUUUUUAUUUAUAUAUAUUUUAAAAUUUUUAUUUUUUUAUAUUUUUCAUUUAUAUAUAUUUUAAAAAUUUUAUUAAAAAUAUAAUUAAACAUAAAUCUACCAUAUGAAAUUUUGCUGAUGUAUUCUAAAUUUUCAUAAAAUGAUAAAAUUACUCUCAUUAAAUUUUAUCUAUUUAUAAAAGCUUAGAGUAUAAUUAAUAAAAUUUUAAAUGCAAGUAGCAAUAUUUAUGAUCAAUUUUUAUUUUUUUCAAUAAAAUAUAGAUAAUAUGAUUUAUAUGUGCUGAUUUUUAUAAAUUUAAAUAUUGAAUAGGUUAAAAUUUUAAUUUGAGUAUUUAACAGGUUAAUUCAAUUAGUAAAGGGGUGUGUGUAUAUAUUCAAUAAAAAUAUAAAUAGAAAAAAAUUAUUUUUCUCCCAUUAUUUAGAUAUCAGAAAGAAAAAUAAUAAGAAAAAAUAUAAUUUUUUUUGAAUAGUUAAACUUUAUAUUUUUUUACUGUUUUUUCCCUAAAAUAAAGAAAAAGUGAGGAAAUUAAUUUUUUUUUUUUAGCUUAAUUUUAAUUUUAAUUUAUUAAGGAUUAAAAUGGAGAUAUACCGUUAAAUUGCCAGCUGCCACAUCUUUACCUCUCAGCCACACAUUUCAAAGUCACCGUUUUGCUCACUGUUCUUGAAGUCUUCCUCAGGUCGAUAGCAUAAAAUUUGCAAGAACAACUUGCUCACUGUUCUUGAAGUCUUCCUCAGCUGCCACAUCCCUAUGAUGUUAAAUUUAAAAGUAAGUCCUUUGAUUUUGCAUAAUUUUCUAAUAUAGUCCUCUAAAUUAAUGUAGAUAUAUUAUUAUCUGAAGACCUUUGUGCUUACUCUCUAACCAGAGAAGAGUUGAAAGGAGGUGAACAUAGUAGGCCAAGAUGACAUCAGUUGCAGUAGACCAUGUGAUUGGCACAAUAAUGUCUGCUUUUCAAGAGGAAGCAACAUUGUUAGUAGGUAUCAAAGAUGAACUUGACGAAAUCAGCAAAGAACUUGUAAGCAUGAGAUCUUUUCUACGAGAUGCUGAGAGAAACAAAGUCAUGUCAAAAGGAGAGGAGACAUGGGUUGCAGAGGUGAGGGACACCGCACACCAAAUAGAAGACCUCAUUGAUGAGUACAUGUAUUACAUGUAUCGGAAACAAUAUUCAACAGUCGCCCAUCGAAUUUUUCUUACUCCAAAAUCUUUUUUGGAGAAGCGUAGGAUUGCCUCUAAGCUACGACAGAUCAAUAAAAACAUCAUAGGGAUGGAUGAGAGGAGAAAAAGAUUUGGAAAUGAUCAUGUAGAAGUUUCCAAUGAUCACUGCGAUUUGACAUUAUACCCAAGGGAUUCAGCGGUUUUUAUGAAAGAAGAUGAUGUUGUAGGGUUUGUAGAUGAAAGCCGAUUGUUGAAAACAUGGUUAAUAGAUGGCGAAAAGCAUUUAACUCUCAUUUCAGUGGUUGGAAUGGGAGGAUCUGGUAAGACAACUCUAGUUGCCAAGACCUGCAACAAUGAAACUGCAAAGUCCUAUUUUGAUUGCUAUGCGUGGGUUACUGUCUCUCAGACAUAUGCGAGAGAUGAUUUACUCAGGAAGUUAAUCAAAGAAUUCCAUGAAUCAAGGAAGGCACGCGUGCCUAAUGAUUUGGGUACAAAGGACUUCAAAGACCUGGUAGAAUAUCUUAUUGGUUAUUUGAAGCAUAAAAAAUACCUAGUUAUCUUGGAUGAUGUGUGGGAUGUAAGCUUAUGGGAGAACAUAAAGGCAUCACUUCCAAAUAAUGAGUUUGGAAGUCGGAUUAUAUUUACAACUCGAAAUGAAGAUGUGGGAUCUUUUUCUUCCAAUGUUAGAAAUCACAUGCUUACUAUUAAACCGCUGAAGAAUGAAGAAGCAUGGGAUCUUUUUUGCAUGAAAGCAUUUUUGAGCAAUCCUGAUAAAUCUUGUCCAGAAGAACUUAAACCUCUAGCAUUAGAACUGGUGCGAAAAUGUGAUGGACUACCUCUUGCAAUUGUGGCUUUAGGUGGUGUCAUGUCUUCCAAAAAGUCAACAAGUGAGUGGAGUAGUGUUUGGGACAACUUGAAUUGGCAACUGAACAAUAAUCCAAGGCUAGAAAUAGUCAAGAGCAUUUUGCUGCUUAGUUUCAAUUACUUGCCAUCUCCAUUAAAGUAUUGUUUCUUGUAUUGUUGCCUCUUCCCAGAAGACUAUAAAAUUAAACGAGAAAGGCUCAUUAGACUAUGGAUAGCGGAAGGAUUUAUUCAGAAUAUUGACAGGACUACACCCAGUGAAGUUGCAGAAAGUUAUUUCAUGGAGCUCACACUUCGUAGCAUGCUUCAAGUUGAAAGCAGAAAUGCACGUGGGAGACCAAAGGCUUGCAAGAUGCAUGAUUUUUUGCGUGAAAUUGGUAUAUCAAUGUUAGAGAGAGAGAAGUUUGGUGUCGUAUACGAUGAAAAAGUAAAGAUUAACAAAUGCCAACUUCAUCAAGCUCGCCGCUUGUCUAUUCAAACAACUAACGAGGACCUUCAAUUGUUUGACAAUAUGACACGUCUUCGUUCACUACUUGUCUUUGUGGAUAGUUCUGUAUCUUUCUCGAACAAAUGGUUGCCAAAUUUGAAAUUAAUGAGGUCUUUGGAUUUGGAAAAUGUCGCGAUUAAUAGUUUACCAGAAGUGUUGGGGACUCUAUUCAACUUAAGGUACUUGAAUUUGAGAGGAACUCAGGUGGAAAAGCUUCCCAAAUCUAUUGGAAAACUGAGGAACCUUGAGAGUUUAGACAUUUCGAAUACAAAUAUAAAAGAACUUCCGAGUGAAGUAGCUGAGUUACAGAACUUGUAUCAUCUGAUUAUGUGGAGAAAGGGGAUU
rnacentral:lncRNA from 1 species